ACAACAACAAAAGGUGACCAUGAUGGGGAAUUUUGGGAUCUAGGACUGGUAGUCCUUGAAGAGGCUUGAAAUGAAAAGGAGUGGAUUUUCAGCUAUGAAACAGUGUGGGCUGGAAAAAUUAUACACAGUGCCAUUGAUGUAGAUUAGGCUGAGAGACAGUGACUGGCCCUAGAUCACCCAGUGAGCUUCCUGGCCGAGCAGGGAUAUGCACCCUCAGGACAUCACCAAUCAGAAAGCUAAGGAAUAAUAAGCACCAGAUCAUUCUACAGUGAUUGAGCAACAUGCCAGGUUAUCUCUUCACAAAUUUGUUUCCAGUCUGGUUCUUGUAGAUGAAGAUGAAAACAGAAGUUAAGGGCAGAGGAAAUUGCAAUCCUAUGUCUAGUUAUGUACCCACUGAUUUCACUGAGAUUCAAACAUGGUUACUAAGAGGCUAGGUUCAAGAUGGAAGGAUUACAACUGUUACAUAUUACUAGCAUAAUUUUUUAAGGCAUAGAGCUAUCAAAUGGAUUUAAGGUGCAAUUGUCUCAUAAAUUCUGAAGAACAUCAUGUAUCACUUUGCUAGAUCUGACUAUCCAUCAAAGGUAAAUUGUGAGGGUGCACUGCAAGAUGUUUCCAUUGAUGUGACAAUGAAUCAAAUCCGUCAC